AGGUGGGCCUGCUGACGUGGAAACAGAGUUGGUGGAAUGUAGCUCAUGAUAGCACUCGCCCCCAGGGUUGAAGUGACACCAACACCACCAUCCGGAGUGAAUCUUUACCUUAGGAAUUCUUUACACUUGGAGACCACAUUAAAGAAGACUCAGGCAAAAGGAAAGGGUGUGGAAGCCUUGAGCCAUCUGGUGUGUAGUCUUGGAGGCAAGUUUGUUGUCCGUCACUGGUCUUGUCUUUAUUGCACACUCUGUCCCACAACGGGAGUGAUACAAUCUUGCGGUCAAGCCCAGGGAGUGAUUUUGAGGGAGAGAAGGCAAGCGACGGACCACUUGGUCUUCUUCCAGGCCAGGAUGCUGGGGCAAGAGUAGCUUGUGAGGCUUUUCCAUUACUCCUUAAUUUCGUGGGAUAGGAAAUUGAGCAGGGACUUGAGAUCCAAGCCUUAGCCAUGCAGAGUAUGGAUUCUGUGGAUUGUUCUUGGUAUGACAGAGGAACCUGGCUUAGUUAGAUGUGGAAACAAAGCUUUUUUUUUUUUUUUGC
rnacentral:lncRNA from 1 species